AGAGCAGGCAGCCGCGCCGACGGGCUGCCGGGAUCAGGGGUGCGUUAUGCACCAGUACUGGUGCCGUUUUGAGGUCUCAGCCUUCCUCGUCCAGCCACGUUAGUAGCACCCUAAAGCCGUUAACGUGCGGCUUCGCUUUUCUCUGCCUCAGCCUCGCUCACAUGUGAUGCUGGGCCCCAAAACUGGGCAAGAUAACCUUCCGAGUCUCAAAAAUCACAACGCUCAACCUUAAUUUCCAAUACCCAAUGAGGCCAAUGUAAGUUCCGAGCCCCCAAAACGCAUUACUUAAUCGAUGCUGUGAGUUGUAAACGAGCCAUUUUGAAGCCUCUAUUUCUUAACCCCCAAACCAGCCACAUAAGGCUAGACCCAAAUUCUAAGAGCACAGCACUUAACCCCAGCUCUCAAGCCUGCAGAGCAGCGCAGUACGCCUGCUUUCAAGCCCUAAGGAAGCAGAAUUCAGUCUCCAUUUUCAAGACUUAGAAAGGCACGAUACCAUCUGUUCCCAAGCCCACAAACCAGACGCAGAGAGCAGCACAAAGUCCAUCUGAGCCCCCAGGAUGGGGCCAAAGCUCGGAACCCACUUCCCCCACACUAACCUCAGCCACCAAGCUCUGUCUACUGCCACUGCUCGCAUCCGAGGAGCUCCGCACACUACAGCCCUACUGAGGAGCCGCCUCAGGCUGUUAUGACCUGAGGCCGUUACCAACGGCCACCUGUGGGCAGAGCCAGCAGAUACUCUGUUGAACCUUUUUCAGUUGAAAAAUGGAUUUUGUAAGUCAGUGUGUGGUCCCAGUUCAGGGCACAGUAGUAAACACUGCUCUGAGAUUCUUCCUUUGGGUUUUUAGUUUUUAGGUUAAUUCUGCACAACCUAGUCAACAAUUUCCUAUUCAGUAUGGAAGUGCUUGUAUCCUUCUGCUGCUGGUCACGUGUUUGUUUCUAGAGAAUUUGGGAGAGCUAUAGAAGCCCAGGAGCCAGGAAGACAUUAUCUACUGCUGAUUUUCACAUUUUGGACAUCUCCGACCAGUGCAGACGGGAACAUUCACCAUAGGCACAGCUCCAACAUCAGAGGUGUGAGGUGCUACCAAAGGUUCUUCUGCAUGACUGCCCAUGCUUCUCAUCAUGCCUCAAACCAAACCUGAGGGAGGAACUUACCAAGAAAAUGAGGAGAAGCCUCGUCUUCUUGGAUAAACACAUGUCGAGCACCAGGAGGGAUGUCAAACAUCUUAAGAAAAGCACAGCAACUGCCAGCUCAAGAAGCACAGAGGCCUAUAUAAGAGGCUCAAAUUAUAGUCUUAAUUCCAUUACUCCCCACAUCACAGUAGUUCUUGCAUAAUUUCAUGACUAAUCCACCAGCUGCUUUCAUCACUUUAAGACAGGUUUUCAAAUGGCACUUACAACUACAAGCAGUAAACUUCUCCAGUUGGUUUGUAAUUAAUACGUAUUUUCAGCAGAAUAUUUUACGUAUUUUCUUUCCAUUUGCACAUUAUCUUUGUCUCAGUUUAGUUUGGUUAGUCACUUACUGUCCAAAUGUAAUUACUGAUACUGCAAUAAAGCUUGCUUCAUUCAGCAAUUACCAGUUUUUUAAACUGUUAAUGCAGAUAUUCAUGUUAUCUAUCCCUAAGUCUGCUACCAGUCAUACAGAAGAUGCAUAUCCCUGAGUACCUUCUCCAAACUGAAAUAAAAGCAACAUAGGAAAGUCUUAGAAUACACAAUAUUCUUAAAAAUAUAUAUAUACAAGAUUAUACUGCCCUAGCUCAACAAAUAACUGAUCAGAUAGAAAUUUCUGAGAAGUCCAACGGGUCUUAAAUUAUUACUAAUAAGAGAUGUGUUAUAGAGUACCGCAGUCCAGUCUGAAAACUUUAACCGGGUUAAUGUCAUCAUAUGUUUCACUGGAUGUAAUUUGCACCACUUAAGCCAAAUGAGGGUUUCUGCCAAAAUGUUUCUGUCUUUGGUUCAGAAUUAAGUUGAAUUUAUUUUUCAUUUGUUUAUUUGACUAGAAGGCUACAAUUUGUGACAAGACUGAUUUGACACGAGGAUCCACACGUUCAUAUGAAAAAAAGUUCAGAACUUCACUUAUAACUCUUGAGUUUAGGCUUAAGAAAAAAAACUUCAGAAAAGCUUACACUUCAAAGGGAGGAAGAAUAUUUCUUCUAGUCCUCCUCCAGAAAAAGGCAUGCUAUACUUAGCAUCAGGCAAAGCACCUCAAUUUCUUCUGAAUGUCACUGUUAGGACAAUAGUUAAUAUUUUUUUGGCAGAACUCAGUGUAUCCCCGUUUAGCACAAACACUGUCUGUGGGCUUCAACAUUUACAAAGAACUAAACGUGCUCUGCCUGGGGAGUAUUUCUGGAUACAAUGCACAAAUCGAGUUUUCUCCUAAUAGGUCCUUCAAAAGACAGAAACAUUACAGUGUUUUAAAGGAUCUCACUUCUUUAUCAAGCACCAAACUAUUCUGGCACAUCAAGCUAAAAUUUUUGUUUUGCUACCUUGAAGUAAGCCACGUUUCUGAUCAGUCUUCAAAAACAAUAAGCAUGACAGAAACAUGUGAGAUAAUAGAAACUAUAUUCAGAUGCAUGAAUUUGCUAUUCCUACCAAGCUUUUUGGGAGUGCGGGUAAAGGUUCCUUUCACAGUUCGGCAAUGGGAGUUAUCUCCACCACAGACACCACACUUAUCUUCAGCCUUAUUGGAACCAAUUUCCUUGUCACAACCCACUUUCUGCAGAAUGAAGAGCAAAAAGAAACAUGGCUUUAUCAUAAGCUGUAAGGGUUAGCUGUAGAGGGAAGCAAUCUCAAAAUCAAUGCAUAGAGGAAAUUACCACCCAACACUGAUCUAUUUCAUUUAAAUACAAAUUACUUGAAAGCCUGUUGCUGGGUAAUGGUUGCCAGGUGAAAAAUAGGAAUUGAUUCCCAGAUUAUAUCCACUGUACGUCAAAACAAGGAAAGAUGGUAAAGAGAAAAAUAGGGACAAUUCCUUUCAGAUGCAAACCUAAGUGCAAAAAUGGCAAAUGAAAUUAUCAGUUGAAUAAAAAUAAAGUGUUUUCAUGGAAUGGACCUGUGUCAUUGCUCUAAUGCAAUUUAAUUCUGAAGUAAUUAUGAGGAAUAUGAUGCUGCAAAUAUUUCACAGCAUCUGCAAAGUCUAUCUCUUUUUUUCCUGAUUGCUGCUAAACAGUUAUUCAACACAGCACAGUCCAAACUCAGC